rnacentral:rRNA from 1 species
GCAUAAUCACUUGUCCCUUAAAUCGGGACUGGAAUGAACGGCUAAAUGAGGACUAAACUGUCUCUUACAGGCUAGCCAAUGAAAUUGAUUUUCCAGUACAAAAGCUGGAAUAUAACCACAAGACGAGAAGACCCUGUGGAGCUUACAAACCAAAUUCACCAAACAUGUCUUUAUCGGUUUUCAGUUGGGGCGACUUUGGAGUAAAAAACAACCUCCAAACACCAAACUAAUUAAGAACAACAUAUCAAAAUAUAUCUGUAAUGACCCAGCAACCCUGUGGUUGUCUGAUUAAUGAACCAAGUUACCCCAGGGAUAACAGCGCCAUCCCCUUCUAGAGUUCCUAUCGACAAGGGGGUUUACGACCUCGAUGUUGGAUCAGGACACCCCAAUGGUGCAGCCGCCAUUAACGGUUCGUUUGUUCAACGAUUAAAGUCCAACGUGAU